GACGAACGCUGGCGGCGUGCUUAACACAUGCAAGUCGAACGGAGAAUUUAUUUCGGUAAAUUCUUAGUGGCGAACGGGUGAGUAACGCGUAGGCAACCUGCCCUUUGGAUGGGGACAACAUUCCGAAAGGAGUGCUAAUACCGAAUGUGAUCCAGUUCUCGCAUGAGAGCUGGAUGAAAGAUGGCCUCUAUUUAUAAGCUAUCGCCAAAGGAUGGGCCUGCGUCUGAUUAGCUAGUUGGUGGGGUAACGGCUCACCAAGGCUGUGAUCAGUAGCCGGUCUGAGAGGAUGAACGGCCACAUUGGGACUGAGACACGGCCCAAACUCCUACGGGAGGCAGCAGUGGGGAAUCUUCCGCAAUGGACGAAAGUCUGACGGAGCAACGCCGCGUGAGUGAUGAAGGUUUUCGGACUGUAAAACUCUGUUGUCAG
rnacentral:rRNA from 1 species